rnacentral:lncRNA from 1 species
AUUACAAUUUAUAACUACAUUUGUUCAAACUGUAUUAAUUAUUCAAAUGAAAGAUUACAAAAAGAUAGAUAAUGAGUCUGUAUCAUGUACCUUCCUUUUCCUAGCCUUGGUUAAUUUUGGUCUCUGGUUGUACGAUACUUUCCUUGAAGCCGUUUAUUUUGAUAAUCUUCACUAUACAACACUUUAUUAUGGACAAACAACGACAUUAACUAUAAGACAUUUAUUUGUGCCAAUGGUAAUUUUUUAUCGUUUUAAAUGUUUCCUUUCAUUUUUUGAAUUAUCAGCUUUCACACCUCCGUUUGUAGAUCGGCUUCUUGGUGCUGUUGACAAAAUAAAAAUAAAAGUUUGUUGUUGUCAAACACGACAAAGAUAUGAGGAAAUAUAAAAAUGUGACUUUCUAAAUGGCCGAUAUUUAGGAAAAAAUAAUAAAAACAAAAUUAUCUUGAUUUUAUUCACAAUUUUUCAGUCUUUUUUUUAAAUCUUGAAUUUAUUAUGACGUAACGCCAGGGAGUAUAACAGGAUGUCUUUAUAACAUGGUGUUUGAAUAAACCAGUAAUGUGUUAUUUUUCGUUUGUUUUGUUUUGUUUUGUUUUGUUUUGUGUUGUUUUUGUUUUAUUUUUGGUUAUAAAAAUGAAAUUCUAUAACACUGAAUUAAUCUGUGACAACGAAAAAUAUACAUAUGUGCAAGUAAAAACAUUGGUUUUGAAUACAUGAAUAUCAGCAGUCCUUUGUUUUGUUUUAUUUUGCUAAAUCAAUCCAACAUUUGCAUUAGAAUAGUUUAGUAUCACCCCUAGUAUUUGGUGGGGUUCGUGUUGUCUAUUCUUAAUUUUUCUAUGUUGUGUCAUGUGUACUAUAUUUGUCUGUUUGUCUUUUUUUCAUUUUUAGCCAUGGCGUUGUCAGUUUAUUUUCGAUUUAUGAGUUUAACUGUCCCUCUGCUAUCUUUCGUCCC